GGUGAACGCUGGCGGCGUGCCUAACACAUGCAAGUCGAGCGGUGCAGUUUGAAGCUUCGGUGGAAAGCUGCAUAGCGGCGGACGGGUGAGGAAAACGUAGGAACGUGCCCCUUGGAGUUGGAUAGCCACGGGAAACUGUGGGUAAACCGACAUAGACUCGAGAGAGUAAAGGCCGAAAGGCGCCAAGGGAGCGGCCUGCGGCCCAUCAGGUAGUUGGUAGUGUAAAGGACUACCAAGCCGACGACGGGUAGCCGGCCUGAGAGGGUGACCGGCCACACUGGGACUGAGACACGGCCCAGACUCCUACGGGGGGCAGCAGUGGGGAAUAUUGCACAAUGGGGGAAACCCUGAUGCAGCAACGCCGCGUGGAGGAAGAAGGUUUUCGGAUUGUAAACUCCUGUCUUUUGGGACGAUAAUGACGGUACCAAAAGAGGAAGCCACGGCUAACUACGUG
rnacentral:rRNA from 1 species